GGGUGCGAUCAUACCAGCAUUAAUGCAACAGCGAGAGUAGUACUAGGAUGGGUGACCUCCUGGGAAGUCCUCGUGUUGCACCCC
rnacentral:rRNA from 1 species